UACGUAGGUGACAAGCGUUGUCCGGAUUUACUGGGCGUAAAGAGCGCGCAGGCGGUCGAUCAAGUCGAGUGUGAAAGCCCCCCGGCUCAACUGGGGAGGGUCAUUCGAUACUGAUCGACUCGAAGGCAGGAGAGGGUAGUGGAAUUCCCGGUGUAGUGGUGAAAUGCGUAGAUAUCGGGAGGAACACCAGUGGCGAAGGCGGCUCACUGGCCCGAUACUGACGCUGAGGCACGAAAGCGUGGGGAGCAAACAGGAUUAGAAACCCUAGUAGCUAC
rnacentral:rRNA from 1 species